UACGUAGGGGGCAAGCGUUGUCCGGAUUCAUUGGGCGUAAAGAGCUCGUAGGCGGUUUGAUAAGUCGGGUGUGAAACCUCCAGGCUCAACCUGGAGACGCCACCCGAUACUGUCGUGACUAGAGUCCAGUAGGGGAGCGUGGAAUUCCUGGUGUAGCGGUGAAAUGCGCAGAUAUCAGGAGGAACACCAGCGGCGAAGGCGGCGCUCUGGGCUGGCACUGACGCUGAGGAGCGAAAGCGUGGGGAGCGAACAGG
rnacentral:rRNA from 1 species